rnacentral:snRNA from 1 species
GUGCUCACUUUGGCAGCAGAUAUAUUAAAAUGGGACAGAGGUACGGAGAAGAUUAGCAUGGCCCCUGCUCAAAGAUGACAUGAAAACUCCACAUUUUU